rnacentral:rRNA from 1 species
UUUAGAAUGUUAAUUGUUUUAGGUGCCUGAGUAGUAUUAGUUAUGUUCUUGAAACUUAAAGAAUUUGGCGGUAUCUCAUUCCGUCCAGAGGAAUCUGUCUCGUUAUCGAUAGUCCACGUUGGACCUUACUUAGUUGCUGUUGGUUUGUAUACCGCCGUWUAUUGAUUAUCUUUUUAGAGUUUAUUUAAUUUUCUAGUUUCUUUAUUUUGAUUUAUUUCAGGUCAAGGUGCAGCUUGUUUCUAAGUGAAUGAUGGAUUACAUUGUUAUUUGUUUAUGGAUUAUUUGGUUUAAAUAUUAAUAUGAAAUUGGAUUUGGUUGUAAUUAUUUGUAGACUGUUAUUGUGAUAAAUGGUUCUGAGAUAUGC